UACGGAGGGGGCGAGCGUUAAUCGGAUUUACUGGGCGUAAAGGGUCCGUAGGUGGUUGUGCAAGUCUGAUGUGAAAUCUUCGCCGCUCAACGGGAAGAGGUCAUUGGAAACUGCGCAACUUGAGUGUGGUAGAGGCUAGCGGAAUUCCGGGUGUAGCGGUGGAAUGUUUAGAUAUCCGGAAGAACACCAGUGGCGAAGGCGGCUAGCUGGGCCAUCACUGACACUGAGGGACGAAAGCGUGGGGAGCGAACAGG
rnacentral:misc_RNA from 1 species